AACGUAGGAGGCAAGCGUUAUCCGGAGUUACUGGGCGUAAAGCGCGUGUAGGCGGCUAGGAAGGUCGGAUGUGAAAGCUCCCAGGCUAAACCGGGAGAGGUCAUUCGAAACCACUUGGCUAGUGUGUGGUAGAGGGGUACGGAAUUCCGGGUGUAGUGGUGAAAUGCGCAGAUAUCCGGAGGAACACCAGAGGCGAAGGCGGUACCCUGGACCAUUACAGACGCUGAGACGCGAAAGCAUGGGGAGCGCACGGG
rnacentral:rRNA from 1 species